CAGUAGCCGCGGGAAUACGAAGGGGGCUAGCGUUGCCCGGAAUUACUGGGCGUAAAGGGAGCGUAGGCGGACAUUUAAGUCAGGGGUGAAAUCCCAGAGCCCAACUCUGGAACUGCCUUUGAUACUGGGUGUCUUGAGUGUGAUAGAGGUAUGUGGAACUCCGAGUGUAGAGGUGAAAUUCGUAGAUAUUCGGAAGAACACCAGUGGCGAAGGCGACAUACUGGAUCAUUACUGACGCUGAGGCUCGAAAGCGUGGGGAGCAAACAGGAUUAGAUACCCCUGUAGUCCCUGUCUCUUAUAC
rnacentral:rRNA from 1 species